AUUGAACGCUGGCGGCAGGCUUAACACAUGCAAGUCGAGCGAGCGGAGGACGGGUGAGUAAUGUCUGGGAAACUGCCUGAUGGAGGGGGCUAACUACUGGAAACGGUAGCUAAUACCGCAUACCAUCAGAUGUGCCCAGAUGGGAUUAGCUAGUGGGUGGGGUAAUCGCUCCCCUAGGCGACGAUCCCUAGCUUGUCUGAGAGGAUGACCAGCCACCCUGGAACUGAGACACGGUCCAGACUCCUACGGGUGGCAGCAGUGGGGAAUAUUGCACAAUGGUCGCAAGCCUGAUGCAGCCAUGCCGCGUGUGUGAAGAAGGCCUUCGGGUUGCAAAGCACUUUCAGCGAGGAGGCGUUACUCGCAGAAGAAUCACCGGCUAACUCCGUGCCAGCAGCCGCGGUAAUUC
rnacentral:rRNA from 1 species